CGCUCUUCACGACCAGGGGGAUGACGGCCGCCAGUUCGUUUUUCCCCAGCGAAUGACUGAGCGCACAAGCCCAGAGCACGUCGUUGAUGGCCGGGUGUGUGUCUUGGUUGUAGCUGAGGUUCAGGGCACAAUGGAUGAUUCCUCUCUGGCCAAACCUCUCCCAGGAUUCAGUGUAAAAUGAGCCUCAGUGGUCGACACAGCCAACAGUGAUGGGUCCUCCGUUAGUAGACAGCCAUCAACACGAACAUACUCCAAGUAAAAACAUGUGUUUCAAGUCUGUCCACACUUACCUCAUGGCCCUCAGUGCAAUUUUGUACGCCAGCUCGGCGUCAUGAGGUAGCAGUGAGGUGAAGAGAUACUUGGCAAAGGUGUGCAUGGGAACGCUCUCUCUGUAGAGUAAUUCUCCCAGACCACUGUAAGGACCAGCUGCAGGAAAACACAAAGAUCGGUGUGAGUGAGGAGUUUAAUACAGAGGACAAAGGACAGGCAGCAAAUCAAUCGACAUGAUCUACAACCCACGGCGUUUUGUGAUGCUCGAGUCUUGCUCACCCUCUAGCAGGAAAACAGCUUGCUUCUGGAAGACUUUCACCAAC